UACGUAGGGUGCGAGCGUUGUCCGGAAUUAUUGGGCGUAAAGAGCUCGUAGGCGGUGUGUCGCGUCGGCCGUGAAAACCUGGGGCUUAACUCUGGGCGUGCGGUCGAUACGGGCAUCACUGGAGUUCGGCAGGGGAGACUGGAAUUCCUGGUGUAGCGGUGAAAUGCGCAGAUAUCAGGAGGAACACCGGUGGCGAAGGCGGGUCUCUGGGCAACAACUGACGCUGAGGAGCGAAAGCGUGGGGAGCGAACAGGG
rnacentral:rRNA from 1 species